GUGGUUUUGGUACAAUGAUGGUUAAGGAACGGCAGCUGUGUGUGAUGCUGUUGUUCCGCUGUUUUCUCAUUGCUGUAACGGUCAUGAGUCUGGCAAUUUUUGACUUUGUUGGAUCCUCAUUUUCACAUUUGGGCUCCCUUUUUACAUAUGGGCAGGUGCAAGAGAAUUCUAACUCAACAACGACCAUUGCAACCACCACAACAACAACUACCACAACAACCACCUCCAGCACGACGACAACCACUACUACUACACGUG